rnacentral:misc_RNA from 1 species
CAAGGUUUCCGUAGGUGAACCGAAGGAUCAUUCACACGUAUCCAAACGUUAAAAACCCCCCCGUGAACCUUCAUCCUGCUCUUGUAACCCGCGUAGUUCGCGCAAUCUCUGAUAAAUCAUAGCCCGGAAAAACGUGCGAACAUUGGAACAGUUACAAUCGAGCGGUAGUUCUAUAGGCAAUGUUUCCCCAAGCAGUCAGUGUCGGAAAGUGUCAUUGAUUGUGCAAGGCGCUUCAACGAUUCCUGUAGACCGUACACUCGGGCAGGAGCUUUGUCAAAGGGUGAAGCUCAAUGUCAAUACAUUGGGAAAAAAAACCGAACAACUGUUAACAAUAGAUAUCUUGGUUCUC